AGAGUUUGAUCAUGGCUCAGAUUGAACGCUGGCGGCAUGCCUUACACAUGCAAGUCGAACGGCAGCACGGGAGCAAUCCUGGUGGCGAGUGGCGAACGGGUGAGUAAUACAUCGGAACGUGUCCUGUAGUGGGGGAUAGCCCGGCGAAAGCCGGAUUAAUACCGCAUACGAUCUGUGGAUGAAAGCGGGGGAUCUUCGGACCUCGCGCUACAGGGGGCGGCCGAUGGCAGAUUAGCUAGUUGGUGGGGUAAAGGCCUACCAAGGCGACGAUCUGUAGCUGGUCUGAGAGGACGACCAGCCACACUGGGACUGAGACACGGCCCAGACUCCUACGGGAGGCAGCAGUGGGGAAUUUUGGACAAUGGGCGAAAGCCUGAUCCAGCAAUGCCGCGUGUGUGAAGAAGGCCUUCGGGUUGUAAAGCACUUUUUGUCCGGAAAGAAAACCUCGUGGUUAAUACCCGUGGGGGAUGACGGUACCGGAAGAAUAAGCACCGGCUAACUACGUGCCAGCAGCCGCGGUAAUACGUAGGGUGCAAGCGUUAAUCGGAAUUACUGGGCGUAAAGCGUGCGCAGGCGGUUCGCUAAGACAGAUGUGAAAUCCCCGGGCUUAACCUGGGAACUGCAUUUGUGACUGGCGGGCUAGAGUAUGGCAGAGGGGGGUAGAAUUCCACGUGUAGCAGUGAAAUGCGUAGAGAUGUGGAGGAAUACCGAUGGCGAAGGCAGCCCCCUGGGCCAAUACUGACGCUCAUGCACGAAAGCGUGGGGAGCAAACAGGAUUAGAUACCCUAGUAGUCC
rnacentral:rRNA from 1 species